rfam:Triticum urartu cultivar G1812 contig1241233, whole genome shotgun sequence.
AACCUACUUCCUCCAUCCGGAAAAACUUGUCACAAGCUUAUCUCUCAAAUGGAUGUAUCUAGCACUAACUUGGUGCUAGAUUCAUUCAUUUGAGGGACAAGCUUUUUUGGACGGAGGGAGUAUCUG